GAUGAACGCUAGCGAUAGGCUUAACACAUGCAAGUCGAGGGGCAGCACAAGGUAGCUUGCUAUCUGGGUGGCGACCGGCGCACGGGUGCGUAACGCGUAUGCAACUUGCCCUAUACAGGAGGAUAACCCGUCGAAAGACGGACUAAUACUGCGUAUGCUCACAACUUGGCAUCAAGUGGUGAGGAAAGAAGUUCGGUAUAGGAUAGGCAUGCGUCCCAUUAGCUUGUUGGUGAGGUAACGGCUCACCAAGGCAACGAUGGGUAGGGGAACUGAGAGGUUUAUCCCCCACACUGGUACUGAGACACGGACCAGACUCCUACGGGAGGCAGCAGUGAGGAAUAUUGGUCAAUGGGCGCGAGCCUGAACCAGCCAAGUCGCGUGAAGGAUGACUGUCUUAUGGAUUGUAAACUUCUUUUAUACGGGAAUAACAAGAGUCACGUGUGACUCCCUGCAUGUACCGUAUGAAUAAGCAUCGGCUAACUCCGUG
rnacentral:rRNA from 1 species